UGUGCACUCACAAUCUAAAUUAAUGUAUUUCACUAAUGAUCCUUCCUUUCAAUUUUCAUGUAUUUACUUUAUAUUAGUUGUUCACGAAAACGUGAUAAUUUAAUUUUGUACUUUAUUUGUGUCAUUUUUGGGAAAAGAGUUUUAUAUUAAUUUUACGUCGUGACGUCAUUUCUGUUCAGCCCGCGCUGCGUCCUCAGACCGCGUUGAGCACGCUGAGGAGAGGUGGGAAGAAAAUCACAGAACGAAAACAUUUCUCAUUGUUGUACUCUUUCUCUUUACUCCAUCCAGACCGCGUUGAGCACGCUGAGGAGAGGUGGGAAGAAAAUCACAGAACGAAACAUUUCUCAUUGUUGUACUCUUUCUCUUUACUCCAUCCAGUAUCUACAUGCUCCAUGUUAAUAAACCCUCCAUUAGCAGCAGUUCCCGUGAUCCGUCUCUUCAUUUAUAACACAACGCAGACCGUGAUAGUGACAGUUUGGGGGGGGGACCGGUUACACUUGUCAUGUACACAUCACUGCUAUGGGUGAUAUAUGCAAAAAGACAAGUUACAACCUGCUGUGCCCAUGUUUGUAGAGGAGGUGAGGGGUGUGUGUCUGUCUGUCUGCAUUUCACAGUCCAAUUAGUUCACAUCCGGUGAGGAUUUCUUUUAUUUGUAAGCAGUAGAUCAAAUACACAAACAUAUGAGCACACCUGGAGUCUCAUAUCUCAAAUUACGUAACAAUCUUUCAUCUUAUCUGCUAUUUGGCUUCAGGCUCAAAAUCAUGGCUACAGUAAGACUCCCUCUUCAGCUCUUAGUAAUAUCCUGUAAGAAUGAGAUAUGGUAUGUAAGCAAACACUUUUGAUAUGGUAAAUGGAAAGAAAUAAUUAAGAAUGACUUUGUGUUAUUCAAAUUUGUUAUGGUUUGUCAAACCCAAGUCCUCAGACACAGGAAACCAGAGGCAUUUAGAGGAGCUGGUUUCAGUUCAGAACCAAAAGCAUUUUUACAGAGAUCUUAUACUCUCACUUGAAUUUCGAGAGAGAGAGAGAGAAAGAGAGAGAGAGAGAGGAGUAUAAAGAACAACCCUCAUUUGAAGGGGAAAAACAUGUGCGUCAUGCAGCCAGAUUUUUUUUAUUCGGUUUUGGAGUAUGCAGUUUCAGUGUGUGUUUGUGUGUAAGACAAAGAGAAAUGACAUGGAGAAGAACGAAAUUGCAACAUCAUCAGCUACUGCCAAUAAAAACUUGUUUAUAGAGACAGAGCAUGUAAAAACAGGCAGAGGCAUUCAACAGUAUUCUGAAGAAUGAUCUAAAUAAUGAGAGCUCUUCUUCAUUCAGAUGUCAUUCACUGGUAUAGUCAGUUUGUACCACUAAAUAACAUCUCUAAUGCUAAAACUCUCUCGGUCUGUCAUUCUUUCUAACUUGUUCACUGUCCGCUCUUGGUCUUGGCAUGUACAUAUUUAUGUUCAAACUCAUGUUAACUUAGCAAAAUGUAGGUUUAUAUGUAC